rnacentral:ncRNA from 1 species
CAACACACAGUAAUAAGGAAAGUAGAACUUACACUGCUGACACAGAGAGUCUUCACUUGCUGAAAGGAGACACAGAAAGAAAGUUUGAAAAUGGCCUUUGAGUGUUGAUGCCAAUAUGAGGUGUCAACGGGAUCGCCCGUUAUAGCGAUACAGUAUUAACAUUUUGCUUAAUGGCGUACUGGAUUAUUCCAAGCGUUGUAUAUGUCGUUAAUACUCAUUUCACUUUCAGUGGCAGUGAGUUUUUUUAUUUGAUCAUAUUACGGUAGCGCACGUUCAGUACAAGUAAUGAAUGCAAUUUGGCGUACUGGAUAAGGUUACUUUAGUGAUAAAGUAACAAACAAAGGUGGUACCGCGAGCUAAGCUUUCGUCCUUUAC